rnacentral:rRNA from 1 species
AUUGAACGCUGGCGGCAUGCUUUACACAUGCAAGUCGAACGGCAGCGCGGGCUUCGGCCUGGCGGCGAGUGGCGAACGGGUGAGUAAUACAUCGGAACGUGCCCAGUAGUGGGGGAUAGCUCGGCGAAAGCCGGAUUAAUACCGCAUACGACCUGAGGGUGAAAGCGGGGGAUCUUCGGACCUCGCGCUAUUGGAGCGGCCGAUGGCAGAUUAGCUAGUUGGUGGGGUAAAGGCCUACCAAGGCGACGAUCUGUAGCUGGUCUGAGAGGACGACCAGCCACACUGGGACUGAGACAAGGCCCAGACUCCUACGGGAGGCAGCAGUGGGGAAUUUUGGACAAAGGGCGAAAGCCUAAUCCAGCAAUGCCGCGUGUGUGAUGAAGGCCUUCGGGUUGUAAAGCACUUUUGGCGGGAACGAAAAGGACUGUGCCAAUACCACGGUUCGAUGACGGUACCCGCAGAAUAAGCACCGGCUAACUACGUG